CGCGUAGGCGGUUCGUUAAGUUGCUGGUGAAAUCCCGGGGCUCAACUCCGGGGCUGCCGGCAAGACUGGCGGGCUAGAGCACGGUAGAGGCGGAUGGAAUUCCCGGUGUAGCGGUGGAAUGCGUAGAUAUCGGGAAGAAUACCGGUGGCGAAGGCGUUCCGCUGGGCCGUUGCUGACGCUGAGGCGCGACAGCGUGGGGAAGCAAACAG
rnacentral:rRNA from 1 species